rnacentral:rRNA from 1 species
CUACGGGGUGCUGCAGUGGGGAAUAUUGCACAAUGGGCGCAAGCCUGAUGCAGCAACGCCGCGUGAGGGACGAAGGCCUUCGGGUUGUAAACCUCUUUUAGCAGGGAAGAAGCGAAAGUGACGGUACCUGCAGAAAAAGCACCGGUUAACUACGUGCCAGCAGCCGCGGUAAUACGUAGGGUGCAAGCGUUGUCCGGAAUUAUUGGGCGUAAAGAGCUCGUAGGCGGUUUGUCACGUCUGCUGUGAAAUUUCGAGGCUCAGCCUCGAACUUGCAGUGGGUACGGGCAGGCUAGAGUGCGGUAGGGGAGAUGGGAAUUCCUGGUGUAGCGGUGGAAUGCGCAGAUAUCAGGAGGAACACCAAUGGCGAAGGCACAUCUCUGGGCCGUAACUGACGCUGAGGAGCGAAAGCGUGGGGAGCAAACAGGAUUAGAUACCCUAGUAGUC